rnacentral:tRNA from 1 species
GGCGAAUAUAACUUAAUUGGUUAGAGUGACAGAUUGUGAUUCUGUAAGUUAAGAGUUCAAUUCUCUUUAUUCGCC